rnacentral:lncRNA from 1 species
CCAGUGUUCUUAUGCUGCUUAGCUAAGAACUACCACUUCUCUUCAGGUUUGCCCAUCUAAGUUUGUAUUUAAUGUUGUGAUUUACUUUAUUAACCCCUUUUCACCAUGAAUAUGCUUUGUCUUCUAUUCCCUUGUUCUAGUCAGUAACUGAUCAGUCUAUUCACACUAAGGUACUAAGGACUAAUGUUAGCUUAAUAUUAAUUUGCCUAAAAAUAUCUGAAUUCUAGGCCUUAGGGAUGAAUUUUAUCUCAAAGUGUAAAUAUUUUGUUUUAAUGGAGUGAUUAAAAGCACUGAAACAGACUAGAAAGAACGAUAUUUUGAAGAAAGUGGGUCUUAGAGCAGUGCCUUUCAGAUUACAUAUGGUAAAUAAAUACCUACUUUGCUUACCAUGAUGGGGAUGCCAGCUUUGCUCCAGACAUACUAUUCUAAGGCCAGUACAGACUCCACCAAGGCAUCUGGGACUGAUUGGAGUGAUUUCCAUG